ensembl:snRNA U1 U1 spliceosomal RNA
AUACUCACCUGGCAGGGGAGAUACCAUGAUCAUGAAGGUGGUUUUUCCAGGAUGAGGCUUAUCCAUUGCACUCCAGAUGUUCUGACCCCUGUGAUUUCCCCAAAUGUGGGACACUCAACUGCAUAAUCUUUGGUUGUCAGGGACUGUGUUCAUGCUCUCCCCUGA